GAUAAACGCCGGCGGCGUGCCUAAUACAUGCAAGUCGAGCGAACGGACGAGAAGCUUGCUUCUCUGAUGUUAGCGGCGGACGGGUGAGUAACACGUGGAUAACCUACCUAUAAGACUGGGAUAACUUCGGGAAACCGGAGCUAAUACCGGAUAAUAUUUUGAACCGCAUGGUUCAAAAGUGAAAGACGGUCUUGCUGUCACUUAUAGAUGGAUCCGCGCUGCAUUAGCUAGUUGGUAAGGUAACGGCUUACCAAGGCAACGAUGCAUAGCCGACCUGAGAGGGUGAUCGGCCACACUGGAACUGAGACACGGUCCAGACUCCUACGGGAGGCAGCAGUAGGGAAUCUUCCGCAAUGGGCGAAAGCCUGACGGAGCAACGCCGCGUGAGUGAUGAAGGUCUUCGGAUCGUAAAACUCUGUUAUUAGGGAAGAACAUAUGUGUAAGUAACUGUGCACAUCUUGACGGUACCUAAUCAGAAAGCCACGGCUAACUACGUGCCAGCAGCCGCGGUAAUACGUAGGUGGCAAGCGUUAUCCGGAAUUAUUGGGCGUAAAGCGCGCGUAGGCGGUUUUUUAAGUCUGAUGUGAAAGCCCACGGCUCAACCGUGGAGGGUCAUUGGAAACUGGAAAACUUGAGUGCAGAAGAGGAAAGUGGAAUUCCAUGUGUAGCGGUGAAAUGCGCAGAGAUAUGGAGGAACACCAGUGGCGAAGGCGACUUUCUGGUCUGUAACUGACGCUGAUGUGCGAAAGCGUGGGGAUCAAACAGGAUUAGAUACCCUGGUAGUCCACGCCGUAAACGAUGAGUGCUAAGUGUUAGGGGGUUUCCGCCCCUUAGUGCUGCAGCUAACGCAUUAAGCACUCCGCCUGGGGAGUACGACCGCAAGGUUGAAACUCAAAGGAAUUGACGGGGACCCGCACAAGCGGUGGAGCAUGUGGUUUAAUUCGAAGCAACGCGAAGAACCUUACCAAAUCUUGACAUCCUUUGACAACUCUAGAGAUAGAGCCUUCCCCUUCGGGGGACAAAGUGACAGGUGGUGCAUGGUUGUCGUCAGCUCGUGUCGUGAGAUGUUGGGUUAAGUCCCGCAACGAGCGCAACCCUUAAGCUUAGUUGCCAUCAUUAAGUUGGGCACUCUAAGUUGACUGCCGGUGGCAAACCGGGGGAAGGUGGGGAUGACGUCAAAUCAUCAUGCCCCUUAUGAUUUGGGCUACACACGUGCUACAAUGGACAAUACAAAGGGCAGCGAAACCGCGAGGUCAAGCAAAUCCCAUAAAGUUGUUCUCAGUUCGGAUUGUAGUCUGCAACUCGACUACAUGAAGCUGGAAUCGCUAGUAAUCGUAGAUCAGCAUGCUACGGUGAAUACGUUCCCGGGUCU
rnacentral:rRNA from 1 species